CCAGAACCCGUGAGCAUCUCAUCACUUGUUGUGUUUUGAAAGUCAGUCAGCGGCGACUCAUACUGUCCACCAGUGAAGUGAUGACUCACUUUUAAGUGCUUCCUAGCUUAAAGGUUUAAUGGAGCCAAUGUCCUAAAACACUUGUUGCAGCUAAUUAGCACACUCAGUUCACUUUCCAGAAAUUAUAUGCUAAACAUUCCUGAAAAAAAAAAACUACAACUGUUUUGUUAUUCCUUUAGUUUUGUUUUCUCUGCGCAGCAUUUGUGUAGAAAUCUGUAUGGCAUGAAAAAUUACAACAAUUUAAAAUCCAGCUGUUGACACAUACAUGUAGGCUUGUCUUCACUUGAAACAUAAUGUCUGCCAUUUACUUAUUGAAGGUUCGAUGGUUAUGCAGUACAGAUUGUUCCGGUCAAACUGUACUCACAGAUGCGUUAACUCCUGACUUCAAUGAAAACAUCCGUCAGGUUUAGGCCGUGGCUAUUGGAGAUCUGAAUAAACGAAAAGGUUCACAUGAUUAAGAUUCAAAGGAGGGAAUAGAAAACACUUGCAAGGAGAGAAGUAUAAAAGAAUCCCAAUUUGGUCUCACUUCUUUAAAUCGUUUGUGAAUGAAAUGCAACUCAAAUGUUUUUUUACUGGGCCGCCAGUAACCUAGUGGUUAGUUUGUGCGCAACAUGUUAAAAGGCUGUCAGGUAGUCCUCCAAGCAGACGGCCCUGGUUCGAAUCAGACCUGCGGCUCUUCUCCAGCAUGUCAUUCCCCUCUCUCUCUCCCUCUCCCCAGUUUCCGACUCGAUCCACUGCCCUGUCAUGAAUCGAUAAGGAAGUAUGAUAGAGAGCUCAUGUUAAUGCUUAGGACAGAGGGAGUGUGACACUUUGGAGUAAUAGGUUGAAAUAUGAAGUCUUUUGUUACCAUACAGUUAUUGAAUUAGUGCAUGUGUGUAUAAACUACACAGUAGACUUUUGAUAUGUUACACAGCAUCCUGGGUUUAUAAACUCUUUAUAUAAACAGAGUCUUACACACAGGUCUUUGUAAGUGUUAAUUAUAAGACAUAACACUUUCUAACUUUCUGGGAGAUGCAGGGUUUCUGUAGUAAAUGUUAAAUCGGCAUGUUUUCUGAAGUUUCAUAGUCAAAGACAAAUCGAUAUUUUGCACAUUUUUUACUUUUUCAUCAAUAUUAAUUCAAUUACCGGUAAACUUUUUCUUGAGUGAUGAACUCUUUUGGGUUGUAUUGAAUAUGUUUCCAUAAAUAACAUCCCUGUAAAGCAGGAAUCCCCAAUAAGUUUUGCCAAAUGAACUUGGACUUCUUCAACCCUUUCCCUUCAUUUCUCUCCUCAUCUCAAACACAGUUACACACUAACACCUCUGGCCUGCCUCUCAUAUUCACAGACACAAAGACUCCCACUCGUACACUAAGAGAGACAAGGAGACAGGCCGAGGUAUUUUCAGCCUGUCACUUAAUUAUAGGGAUGAAUGUUAGAAUACACAACAGACCUUUCCUAGAGGAAAAAUGUUUCUAUGCUGCAGAGCCAUCUGUCUGUCCCUGUGAACAUGGACUACAGUCUAUAGUGAAGUUAAAACCUUUCUCUGAUGAACCACAGAGCUGUAGUAUGACAUACAGGUCUUCUGACCCCUCCAUGUUUAUUCAAACAUGAUCUAUCUUAUUAAUCCACAAACAGUAAGCUCAGUGGUUCCCUCUCUGCUUCAAGCCUGUUUGACAUCUCUUAUCAAAUCAUGAAUUUAUAUUGACCAUAAUGUACACAUCAACUGGUACAUGAGGUCUGAUCACAUAUGGUGACUUAAA